rnacentral:rRNA from 1 species
CCUACGGGAGGCCGCAGUGAGGAAUAUUGGUCAAUGGGCGAGAGCCUGAACCAGCCAAGUCGCGUGAGGGAAGACGGUCCUAUGGAUUGUAAACCUCUUUUGCCGGGGAGCAAAAAGCGGUACGUGUACCGCAUCGAGAGUACCCGGAGAAAAAGCAUCGGCUAACUCCGUGCCAGCAGCCGCGGUAAUACGGAGGAUGCGGGGGUUAACCGGAUUUAUUGGUGUAAAAGGGUUCACAGGCGGCGAGUUAAGUCAGCGGUAAAAUGUCGGGGCUCAACCCCGACAAGCCGUGGAAACUGGCUUGCUAGAGUGGGCGAGAAGGAUGCGGAAUGCGUGGUGUAGCGGUGAAAUGCAUAGAUAGCACGCAGAACUCCGAUUGCGAAGGCAGCAUACCGGCGCCCAACUGACGCUCAGGCACGAAAGCGUGGGUAUCGAACAGGAUUAGAUACCCGAGUAGUC